AAUUUCAUUGCCCUCUUGAGUGGAAAUUUCCUGACCAGCCUUUAUUGUAAGAGUGUUGCCGUGGUGUUAUAAGUGCAGUUACUUUGUUCUCAGUAAGUGCUUCUUUGAUCCUAGUGAUGAACUGUUUGAUAUUUAGAAGUACCUAUGAUUUUCCCAACCUGACAUGGGGUGUAUGUGUGUGUCAGUGGAGAUGUAGGUGUGGUCUGCGGUUGCCUUCCAAUGAGCCCAGAUGCACAACUGUGAGGCUCACUAGAAAAUGAAGUUCAGAUAGUACACUGGAUCUUCUCUUUCUAUGCUUUUUUCUUUCCUUUUUUUCUGUCCCACUUUCCUUUUCUUCCUUACUUCUAAUACAUAAAGCAGGAUGUUUAAGAGAGAAAAACAUGGAAUAUUCUUGUUGCUGUGGAGACAAUUCAUUUCUGAGGAAUAACCUGAAACUUCUGUGGUUCUUUAAUGGAUGCACACAUUUUAGGCUAACGUGGAAAACAGCAGGGAAGAGAUUCAAAGGGAACUAUCCCUGACUUCUUAACAGUUAGGAAGUAUAUUUGAGAGGAAGACAAGAAGGAAUUGAAUGAAAUGGAAGGGGAAACUCAAAGCCUUGUUCCCUCCAACAAUGCAGAAGCACUUCCACUUACAUGAAAUGACCAGAGAUGAGUAGGGAGAAUCAUUUGUCAUCAUCAGAACAAGAAAGUUCAACUACUAGCGUAAAAGUCUAUCCGUCUAUUAGCCUGGUGAUGGGUAUUAAAGAGGGCACGUACUGCAUGGAGCACUGGGUGUUAUACGCAAACGAUGAAUCAUGGAACACUACAUCAAAAACUAAUGAUGUAAUGUAUGGUGAUUAACAUAACAUAAAAAAAAAAGAAAACAAAUAAACGAGAUGAACGUUCUCUGCAUUGUUAGAUAUGGUACAGCUAUCAAGUUCUUGUUUCCUCUUCUUGCUCUAGUUUUCUGCCAGUCUUUGAAGUUUCAGUCUAUCAUGAAAGUAAAACACUUCAUGUCCUCAGGGUCAUAAAAAAAAAAAAAAAAUCAGACUAAAUAGUGAAAUGUAGUAGCCAUCAUGAAAGGCAUGUCCUCUUGCAUGCUUUUUUGCCCACUUUUUUAUGAAAACAUAUGCCUGUGAGGGAAUCCUAAAUAUUUGCAAAAUCACACUUCAUAUUUAUCGUCAUGACGACAGCAACAGUCACCGCCAGCGCCACCACUGCCAAUAAUCUUGCUUUAAGGAGAAGCCUGCUCCUUGCAUCUGAGGCUUCUCCAAGGUUCUCUUACAUUUCUAUAUCGCUUCCUCUGUGUCCUCCAUCCAGUGCCGUGACUUCAGUUCUACCUAUGUGACACUCAACUCAAAACAGCUGUCCCCAACCUCUUUCCUGAGCUCAGGGGUUGUAUAACCAGCUCUCCUCUGGGUAUUUUCACCUGGAUUUUUUAUUGACACCUGUAGCCCAAGAUGUCUACAACUGGUCUUAUUAUCUCUCACACCCAAUUUGUUCUUGCUUUUUACUCCCUAUUUCAGUUAAUAAUUCUACCAUUCGCCUUGUUGCCUAAGCCAAGAACUUGAGGGUCAUGUUAGGUUCCUCUUCCACCCUUCACCUUUAUUCACAGAGUUCUAGUGACUGUGCUACUGAAUAUCUCUUGAAUCCAUUCUCUGGAUCUUGUCACUUUAGUACUUCACCCCUGCAAUAACUUCCCAGUGCCUAUGGAACAAAAUCAGGUGCCUUAAUGUUUCAUAUAUCGCCCCACUUCGUAUUCUUACUCUCUACCUUUGCCCUUAUUCUCCAGCCAAAUCCAACCAUCCAGGGCUCUGGAAACUGCCACAUUCUCUCUUGUUUCUAUGCUUUCAACCAUGAUAUUUGCUCUGUCAGGGGUUCUUCCCUUGCAAGUUUGGCAGUAAUUUCUUCCUUUUCCUGUUGCCUGACUCCCAUGUCUUUCUCCCUCCACCACUGGCAGGUUUGGAAAUUUCUUUCUCUGGAUCUCAAAGCUGCUUGAUAAAAUCAUAGUAUGGCUGACACCACCUUCUGCUGUGUUUGUCUUUACUGUCCUCAGCACUGUACUGUGAGCACCUUUGGGUUAGGGACUGAUUCUUCACCUUUAUAACUCAGCAGCCGUGAUGUGCCUUGUACGUAAGUAGAGGCUUAGGAAACACUUGUUUUUUUUUUUGUUUGUUUUUGUUUUUUAAAGAUUUUAUUUAUUUAUUUGACAGAGAGAGACAGCGAGAGCAGGAACACAAGCAGGGGGAGUGGGAGAGGGAGAAGCAGGCUUCCCGCGGAGCAGGGAGCCCAAUGCGGGGCUCGAUCCCAGGACCCUGGGACCAUGACCUGAGCCGAAGGCAGACGCUUAACGACUGAGCCACCCAGGGGCCCUAGGAAACACUUGUUGACUGAAUAAAGAAGGUGAAAGAUAUUUCUGGCUUCAAAGGGGAGAAGAUGAUAAUCGGAAGCCGUGUGCAGAUUUUGUAACCAUACUUUGAGGCUUAUAGAUUUUUUUUUUCUCCUCCUUCGUUCCUAGAGGCACUGGCUUUCCAUAUUCAUAAUAUUUCAUGUGGCAAUGAGUCCACAGUAUUUCCUGAAGAUUCCUGGUUUGCCUGGCCCUGCAUUAUGUCCUCUAAGGCUUACCGAGACUGAGGCUUGGUCUCCACCCUCAAAAAAUGCAUAAUGGAAAUGAGGAAUUAAAACCAGGUCAUGAAAACAUUAGAGGAUAGCGAAUGCAAACUUGCUUGCUGCAUCUCGUUGUGAGAAAGGAGAGAAGAGGCGGAACAGGUAGCUGGCAAGUGCUUUGUGGAGAAGGUGGGAAUGAAGCUGGACGCUGUGAAGAACUCAUUUUCUCUUCUAGGUGGUGGUAGUUCUGUUUCUAGUGAGUUUCUUCUCUGGGAGUCUCUUCAUAAUGAAAGUCCUUCAGCACUAUUUCUGCUCACUUACCGGAACAGCCUUGUUACUCACAGGUGAUUUGUCUGUCUGUGGGUGCCUGUUAAAGGGUAGCACCUACGGAAGAGGUUGUGUGACACUCAGAAGAAAUGGAAGACCUGGGACUAAUGGACUAAGGAAAAAUGAAGGUUUAAUCAGCCAGAAGCUGUUUGUGGCUGGGGUAUGGUCCUCCAGGUUGUGUAUCUUCUACUUCGUGGCAGUUUCUUGAUCUACUAUUGUGACCCAUCAUCUGUAAAAUCAAGGUCAAACCAGUGCCUCUUGAUAGAAUAUUGCUACCUCUGCAAAGCAUCCUGGAGCAGUUGAUAUUUUGAUGGGGACUGUGAAUGUGGCCGGAGGGUCACAGCUCUGAUGGGUGCUGUUCUGGUACAUUAUGGUAGGUGGGAGUACCAGGAAAAUAAGGAGACCAGUUGAGGAAAACAGCUGCUCUUGUGAGCUCUCUUUUCCAUCUUCUCCAUUUUUUCACCCCAGUUCGUAAUAUGUACAAAUGAUACUAAACGUAUUCCAUAAAAUGGUCCUCUGUGAAUGAUAAAUCAUGUAACCCAUUUACAAAAUGCUUUUUAGUUUUGGUUUAAAGUCCUCCCCGCAGUCACUGCAGGCGCCUGAUUCUUCUAUAAUAUCCUCCCUAAUGUUCACAGGGAAAUGGAAGUUUCUCUAUGUCUGAGAUUUUAAUAAAUUGGACUAUUAAGUUGUAAUCCAAGACCCCAGCUCAGAAGACAAGAUCCCUUUAGAGUUGUUGACUUUAUUACACACGAAGUGGUGACUGGCAAUGUCUUAAAGAAACAUUAGGUGACUAGAAAGGGAGAGGUUGGUCACGUUGGGGCUGGUGUACUGCUCUGAAUUAUUCUUGGGGUUAUCACUGACUUAUAACUGUGCACCUUAGAGAUUAGGAAGUCAUUGUGGCUGCCAUUAAGGCUCUCAUCUUCCAUUGGAUCUGAUUUUGAUUAUUGUGUUUUCCUGUGGGGAAAAUACCCCUCACUGUGUAUUAUCUAUGCUUCAGUUUAA